GCUGUGAAGCGGAUGACUGGUACCUUCAAUCGGUUUGAUCUCAGCGAGCCUACAACCAAAGCCAAGACUCGUGGCGACAUGAUCUAGGCGGUUGACAUUGAACCAGC